CAUCCGCGAGGCUCGGUGGGCGCCAGCUCUUCUGCCUCUGUCUCCAGCCCUGCCCCGUCCCCUCUGGUUAGCUCCCAGGACGCCCUAACACCGGCGGGGCGGGGAGCAGGUGGGAAGGGAGGGCUUGGAACCCUGGUGGGGCCCCGGGAGCGGGAGCGAGCCCGCUGCUGUCAGCAAGGCGCCCCGCGGAUUCUCCGGGCCGCUCUGGGAAACUGGCUACAUCAGCUCUCCCUUCUCACCCCUGCUGCAGAGGCUGCCCCUCCUCGAAGACUGGGGUUAGAGUGACUGGUGACCUUUGGUGAUCCGGUGAUCUUGAGGGACCUCUGUGCCCCAUGGAUGGACAGGAACUCUCCUCCCGAAUUGCCCCCAACCCCCUUAGUUGCUGGAGUAACCACUGCGGAAAUAAAUACCAAUCCCCUAAACACCUCUUUUAUUCCCGGUAUGCAAGGUUCACCUGAGUAGGGGUGCGGGGUGGAGAAGUCCGCAUCCUGCCAGCACCAAGGGGUGCGCCAUAGGUUCCUGUCUGGCUUAAGGUUUAUGUAUGUGGCCACCAUCUUGAAAAUCCUAAUUCUUGACCCGGCCUAUUCUUUUUGCACUGGGUCUUGAAAAUUAUGUAGUGGUAAUGACUAGCGGGCCCGUUCUCAGUCCUGUCCCACGGGAAAGAGAGCAGGUGGGACUGUGGGUCUUCGAACCUGUCCCCGAUCGACCGUAGGCUAGCAAGGGUGCUUGGCCCUCUACGCUCUGGUUUGGUAGCUGCAGGCGCCAUUGCUCUUUCCAGUUCUGCGGUUCUGACUGAGGCCUCGCUCACACUUUCCCCCUUAAAUAACAGCUUUGGUUGAUUUAGUGGCAGUCACCAGCAAGCAACUUUGGGACUAGAGAGUCACUGCACCACAUUUAAAAAUUCCAUAUUUGGGGUUUCAACAAACCACUGGUAGAAAUAUUGGGGGUGGGGGCAUGUCUACAGUGAACAUAUACACGCUUUUUCCUCAUUGUUUAUUAAAUAGCACUGGAUAGCGAUGAUUCAGAUAUACUCGCACAGUACCGGGUGUUUAAUAUAGACGGGGUUAAAAUGCAUAGGUUCUCGCUGAGCACUAAGCUACUUUAUAAAAGAGAUGAGAAUCCUCAGGGUACUGGGUACGGGGAGCAAUGGUGUUUGUAUAGAGUGUGUGGGGAUUCUGAAACCAGACCUGGAAUUGUCUAUAAAUUCGCCUAUACUUUAAUCUCCAGGGUUCUUUCCAGGCCAAUGAUGGGUCUCCCCCUAGUGUCCGGCUGGGGAAUCCUCACUUUCGCUUUUCCCCUGGAAGGUAUAUUUAGGCAGUAGCUGAAAGUCCAGUGACCAGGGAGUCCCCUCCCUUCCUUGCUCCUCAGCCUCUCCCGCUGGAUGGUGGUUAUCCGAGCUGGUGGACGAAGACAAGUUCCUGGUCUCUGGGCUUCACUUUAUUUACUGAUUUCCGGGUAGUGGAAAGAAGAACUCCAAAGCCGGAGAGAGCUAAGAGAGGAUGGUGGGCACAGAGGUUCCCACUCCCCUCCUCCACCUUUCCCCUUGCUCUCUUUACAUCCAUGCUCCAAACUCUGGAGGACAACCAACCCUAGAGGGCUUGCUAAAUCACAACUUGCUGGCUCUACUCAAGUUCCUGUGUCGGUGCAUCCAGACCAAACACAGAGGGGCCAUUUGUGGGUCGCCUGCGGCCAAGGAUGGGACUCAGGAAACAGCAUGGAAAACGGUGAAGAAUAAGCCCACUUAUCCAACCUCCUGGAGAAGCCACAGGAGAGGCCUGCUGGUCCUGGGAAGUGCAGAGUGUGAGAGGACUGAGGCUUUUCUCCCCGAGACCCGCCUGAGUUCAGACCUCCUGGCCUGG
rnacentral:sRNA from 1 species